AACGAACGCUGGCGGCAUGCCUAACACAUGCAAGUCGAACGAGACCUUCGGGUCUAGUGGCGCACGGGUGCGUAACGCGUGGGAACCUGCCCUUAGGUUCGGAAUAACUCGCCGAAAGGGGUGCUAAUACCGGAUAAUGUCUUCGGACCAAAGAUUUAUCGCCUUUGGAUGGGCCCGCGUUGGAUUAGCUAGUUGGUAGGGUAAAAGCCUACCAAGGCGACGAUCCAUAGCUGGUCUGAGAGGAUGAUCAGCCACACUGGGACUGAGACACGGCCCAGACUCCUACGGGAGGCAGCAGUAGGGAAUAUUGGACAAUGGGCGAAAGCCUGAUCCAGCAAUGCCGCGUGAGUGAUGAAGGCCUUAGGGUUGUAAAGCUCUUUUACCCGGGAUGAUAAUGACAGUACCGGGAGAAUAAGCUCCGGCUAACUCCGUG
rnacentral:rRNA from 1 species